rnacentral:rRNA from 1 species
GACGAACGCUGGCGGCGUGCUUAACACAUGCAAGUCGAACGGGAAGGCCCUGCUUUUGUGGGGUGCUCUAGUUGCCAACGGGUGAGUAACACGUGAGUAACCUGCCCUUGACUUUGGGAUAACUUCAGGAAACUUGGGCUAAUACCGGAUAGGAGCUCCUGCUGCAUGGUGGGGGUUGGAAAGUUUCGGCGGUUGGGGAUGGACUCGCGGCUUAUCAGCUUGUUGGUUUGGUAGUGUCUUACCAAGGCCUUGACGGGUGGCAGGGCUGCGAGGGUGACCGGACAAACUAGGAUGGAGCUGAGGCACAGCCUAGUACGGGAGGCAGCAGAGGAGUAUAUUAUACUAUAGGAGGAGGGAUGGCGUGAUACAGCAGCGCGGGGGAUGAGAUGAAGGGGUUAGUAAUGUGAAGCCGUCUGAGACGAGACGUUAGUGACGGUAACGGGUGAAGAAGCACCGGCUAACUACGUG